AUGGAUGAGCCAUGGAUAGUUUUUGGCGAUUUCAACGAAAUCUUAUUCUCCCAUGAAAAGGAAGGAGGAGCACCCAGGGAGCAAAGAUGUAUGCAAGCAUUCAGGGAUGUCCUGUCAGAGUGCGAGUUGGCAGAUCUGGGUGCAACGGGAGACGCAUAUACAUGGAGUAGAGGGAGGAUAAAGGAAAGGUUGGAUAGAGCUGUCUGUAACUCACGGUGGAAUUUGAUCUUUCCUAAUGUUGGUGUCGUGAAUGGUGAAAUGACAAAAUCUGAUCAUCGUCCCUUGGUG
rnacentral:rRNA from 1 species